rnacentral:rRNA from 1 species
CGGACGGGUGAGUAACACGUGGAUAACCUACCUAUAAGACUGGGAUAACUUCGGGAAACCGGAGCUAAUACCGGAUAAUAUAUUGAACCGCAUGGUUCAAUAGUGAAAGACAGUUUUGCUGUCACUUAUAGAUGGAUCCGCGCCGCAUUAGCUAGUUGGUAAGGUAACGGCUUACCAAGGCGACGAUGCGUAGCCGACCUGAGAGGGUGAUCGGCCACACUGGAACUGAGACACGGUCCAG